rnacentral:rRNA from 1 species
AUCAGUUAUGGUUCCUUAGAUGGUACUUUUUACUUGGAUAACUGUGGUAAUUCUAGAGCUAAUACAUGCAAUUGAGCUCCGAUCUUUCCUUCCGGGGACGAGUGACGAGUGCUUUUAUUAGACCAAGACCGAUCGGCAGAGAUGUCGUAAAUCGUGGUGACUCUGGAUAACUAUAGCGGAUCGCACGGCUCUAACGCCGGCGACGCAUCUUUCAAGUGUCUGCCUUAUCAACUUUCGAUGGUAGGUUAUGUGCCUACCAUGGUUGUUACGGGUAACGGGGAAUCAGGGUUCGAUUCCGGAGAGGGAGCCUGAGAAACGGCUACCACAUCCAAGGAAGGCAGCAGGCGCGCAAAUUACCCACUCCCGGUACGGGGAGGUAGUGACGAAAAAUAACAAUACGGGACUCUAUCGAGUUCCCGUAAUUGGAAUGAGUACACUCUAAACCUUUUAACAAGGAUCAAUUGGAGGA